UACGUAGGGGGCGAGCGUUGUCCGGAUUUAUUGGGCGUAAAAGGCUUGUAGGUGGCCACGUCAAGUCGGAUGUGAAAUCUCCCGGCUCAACUGGGAGGGGUCAUUCGAUACUGGCGGGCUCGAGGCCGGUAGGGGGAAGCGGAAUUCCCGGUGUAGUGGUGGAAUGCGUAGAUAUCGGGAGGAACACCAGUGGCGAAGGCGGCUUCCUGGACCGGUUCUGACACUGAGGAGCGAAAGCUAGGGGAGCAAACGGG
rnacentral:rRNA from 1 species